CCCUUAGAUGUUCUGGGCCGCACGCGCGCUACACUGAUGCAUUCAACGAGUCUAAAACCUGCUCUGAUAGGGGUGGGUAAUCUUUUGAAUGUGCAUCGUGAUUGGGAUAGAUGAUUGCAAUUUUUCAUCUUCAACGAGGAAUGCCUAGUAAACGCAAGUCAUCAGCUUGCAUUGAUUACGUCCCUGCCCUUUGUACACACCGCCCGUCGCCCCUACCGAUUGAAUGAUCCGAUGAAUAUCAUGGAUUGAGGAUGCAAGUAGGUUAGCCUAUCUUCAUCUUCGAGAAGUGAAGUAAAUCUUAUCAUUUAGAGGAAGGAGGAGUCGUAACA
rnacentral:rRNA from 1 species